AUUGCUUCUUGGCCUUUUGGCUAAGAUCAAGUGUUGUAUCUGUUCUUACUAGUUUAAACUUUUUUCAGCAGGGCCUUAGACACCAUUU
rfam:Egretta garzetta contig49842, whole genome shotgun sequence.